rnacentral:rRNA from 1 species
GUGGAUUAGAUACCCUAGUAGUCCACGCCGUAAACGAUGGGCACUAGGUGCUUGGGGGAGCGACCCCCCGAGUGCCGGCGCUAACGCAUUAAGUGCCCCGCCUGGGGAGUACGACCGCAAGGUUGAAACUCAAAGGAAUUGACGGGGGCCCGCACAAGCGGUGGAGCAUGUGGUUUAAUUCGACGCAACGCGAAGAACCUUACCUAGGCUUGACAUGCAUGGGAAAGCCUCUGGAAACAGGGGCCCCUCUUCGGAGCUCAUGCACAGGUGCUGCACGGCUGUCGACAGCU